UCCACUAUCUCUCUCCAGAAAAGAACGCCUUAUCCUAAUCUCCUUUCCUCGUCUCAACCUGGUGGUGGCGAAGAAUCAGAGGGCCACAGCCGCCGCCAGUGUCGUAGCCCGGGGUGUCGAGGGAGAGGCGACGGACUGGAGGAACCAGGCGAGCCGGUCGGCGGGUAACCGGAGCAGCAGCGCCAUCGUCUCCUCCCUUCGUCUUUCUUCUAGCUGGAGCGGGGUCGGCCAGCUGCCGCAUCCCCGUCGAGGAAGGGGCCACGGAGCUCACGCCGGAGAGUGGCCUAGUGCUUAGGUAAGGCUGCAGCCGCGCCGUCGUGUGGUCUGCUGACACCAAGGGCUGGUCCAUCGCCGGGGCGUGCAUCAGCAGCGACGCCUCCGAUAUUGGCCACCCGCCAUGGAUGUUCCUCUGCACGCAUGGCAGCAGAUCGCUGCAGCCAUCCUUCUCACCUGGGAAGGAGGAGAGCCAUCAGCAGCAGCCCAGGUUCGUCUCUCUUUUUCCUCGUCCCUGCUCACUUCCUCAACUCUCUGCUCAGGUUCUGUGUGUUGCUGCUAGAUCCUCAAGUGUGAGUUUAGCCUGCUAGAUGUGUAUACUAGUUUCAGUUUAUCUAGAAGAAGAGGGGAGUGAGGAGACCAGUUUCGCUCGUGUCUUGCUCAAUUCUGUACUAGUUUCUCACCAAGUGUCUCCUGACAUGGGUUAGGUGGAUGGAUGGAUACAUAUAUCUAGCAAAAUGAACAUGAGUAAUUAUUGUCUACUGAUUAAGCCGAUUGAUGCAAGGUGUUCAUAUAUCUAUCUAUCUAUGUGUUACUACUUCUAGGAAAUGGAAUCAGUGUUUUUGCUUGGAGAUUGUACUGAUUUUUACGACCAGGAAUUUUUUUGUUUUUUGCAUUCUAGCUACCUCACUUUUUAGCAUGAGUUGCCUAGAGUUCCAAUUCCCCAACCCCCUUGCUUCUCCAUCUACUCCAACUUGUUCUAUCUAACCUGCUCCGAACUGCUGCAGGAUCUACUCAAUUUUGAUCCUUUUCUUAGUGCCUGCCAGUAGUUGCUUCAAAAUUUAGCAUCAGUUGCUUGAAAUUAUAGGCAAAGUUGUUGCAUUUUUUUUUACUUUUGCACACGAGAUCAUGUGUUAUCAUUUUUGUUUAGAAGGAUCAUGUUUGAGGGAACUUGGUGGGCAGAACAAAUCAACAUAUACAAGUAUAAGUCUAUCAUAUGCUAAGUAUAAGUCUAUCAUAUGCUCUGCUCUGCUCUGUCUCUUGAUUGAUGACAACAGAAUUCAGUAGGAGUACCGUUUGUUCAUCCAAUUGAUAAUUCAUUCCUGAACUGCCACCAUUUUUGCGAGAUGAAUAAUGGGCUAGAUUCAGAGAUAAGUGAAUUUUGCCUACAUAUAGAAUUAGAUUGCCACUAUUUUUUUUAUAAAAUGAAAUGAAUGUGCUCCAUGCAACUCAGGGGGUUUUGGUGUUGAUUUUGCAUGAGAUACAACUGAUUUCAAUGUCAUAAACACAUUUUUUUGUGCAACUUGUUGCUUCAAAGCAUGUGUAGUUGCUCAAGUUUAUAAUAUGGGUUGCCUGGAAUUAAACGAAAGGUUACUUUAAUUUUUACUAAAUCUAUAGGGCCUGGAAACAGGGGGAGGUGCGGAUUUUGUACUCCGCUGAGUGGCUUCUCUUGUGACGGGCGUCACGCCUGAUAUGGGGAUUGAAGGGGGUUGGGCAGCAUUGGAUUCGGAAGGCGACUUUCCACUCCAAGGAUAGAAUAGUUACUUGGAUUUCGUUAAAAGAGUUGCAUUUUGUGCGUGUACCGCAGUUGCUUAGUUUUGUUGGGGCAGUUGCUCGGAUUCGUUUUUGAACAUUUUUGUUGCAUUUUUGCCUCUUGUAAUGCGGUUGCUUGGUUUUCCUAGGACAGUUGCUUCCUUUUUACUAGAACAGCUUUGCAUUUUUGUGUUUUUUAAUUGAGUUUCUUGGAUUUUUGCUAGGCUAGAUGAGAAGUUGCAUGGAGAGGGGGGUCAGAUAGUUUUCCACAAAGGUUAUUCAAGUUUCUCACACCCUUUUUUUCUUCCUAAAGUAGUAGAUAAUCUAAGUAGUAAUGCUAGGGACAAUUACCUAUUUUUGCUAGGACAAUUUCACACUUUUCUGUUUCGAGUUGCUUCGAUUGUUUGCUGUAAGUUUUUUAGAUUAUCAUCUCAGAUUUGAAUACGCAUGCAGACUGAGAAGAUACAUCUAUGAAGUAGUUCCUGAUGGCCUAUAACUGAUGCGAUGAUUGACUUGCAUGGCUAUCAUCCCGAUCCUCCUCCCGUCGACGCGCUCCGUGCGAAGCACACCAUCGCCCCACCCUCUACCCUAAAGUAGAUGCUAGGGGAGUUGCUUGAUUUUUCUAGGACAAUUGCUUGGUUUUGCUAGGGUAGUUGCUUGUUUUUCUUGCUAGAACAAUUUUUGCAUUUUGUGUACUUUUGUAGUUGAGUUGUUUGGAUUUUUGCUAGAACAGAUGAGAAGUUACAUGGAGGAGGGGGGAUAAGAUAGUUGUCCACAAAGGUUAUUCAACUUACUCAUAUGUUUUUUUUCUGCCUAAAAUAGACAAUCUAAGUAGUAGUGCCAGAGACAUCUGCUUGUUUCUGCUACAAAAGUUUCCCACUUUUUGCGUUUCUUUGUAAUCGAAUUGCUUUGAUCUUCUGCUACAACAUACGAGAAGGUGGAUGAGAGGGGAGUUGCUUGGUUUUGCUAGGACAUUUUUUUCAUAAAAGGUUAUUCAAGUUGCUCAUACAUUUU